AAUACACUCAAGAAGCUAAAGAAACGUCAACCAAUUGCCGUAAAUCGUCAUGGAGCGAAUGACCUGGCCCUGGAAGUUUAUUUUGUUGGCAACUGCUUGUUCAGGUUUUGUUUUGGUUCUGGAGGGAGUUGAAAGGGAUUCGAACAACAGUGAUGAUCGAGAUGACUGUCCCUACGUGCACGUAGGGGACCAGUGCCUGCUGUUUGUCAACUUCCAGCUGGACACCUAUGAUGUCGCCCAGGCACUAUGUCAAGGUUUUGGGGGGAACUUGGUCGUUAUCAAGACUGCCACACAGAUGAAAGCCAUCAUGGACUAUCUCUAUACUGAUGGUAGGUGAAUCAAAGUUUUU